rnacentral:rRNA from 1 species
UACGGGGGGGGGCAAGCGUUGUUCGGAAUUACUGGGCGUAAAGGGCUCGUAGGCGGCCAACUAAGUCAGACGUGAAAUCCCUCGGCUUAACCGGGGGAACUGCGUCUGAUACUGGAUGGCUAGAGGUUGGGAGAGGGAUGCGGAAUUCCAGGUGUAGCGGUGAAAUGCGUUGAUAUCCAGCGGAACUCCGGUGGCGAAGGCGAGGUGCUGGACCCUUUCUGACGCUGAUGCGCGAAAGCCAGGGGAGCAAACGGG